UACAGAGGUGGCAAGCGUUGUUCGGAUUUACUGGGCGUAAAGGAUCCGUAGGCGGUUCGGUUAGUCAAAUGUGAAAGCCCACAAGCCUCAACUGUGGAACUGCAUUUGAAACUGCCGAGCUAGAGGUGUGAGAGGGGUUAAGGGAAUUCCCGGUGUAAGGGUGAAAUCUGCAGAGAUCGGGAGGAACACCGAUGGCGCAAGGCAGCCCCCUGGGCUAACACUGACGCUCAUGCACGAAAGGCGUGGGGAGCAAACAGGA
rnacentral:rRNA from 1 species